GUUUAAAAAGGUACGGCGUAAGCUGUCGCUAAAAGGGGAUGGACCUGCGAUGCAUUAGCUAGUUGGUAAGGUAACGGCGUUACCAAGGCGAUGAUGCAUAGCCCGAGUUGAGAGACUGAUCGGCCACAUUGGGACUGAGACACGGCCCAAACUCCUACGGGAGGCAGCAGUAGGGAAUCUUCCACAAUGGACGCAAGUCUGAUGGAGCAACGCCGCGUGAGUGAAGAAGGUUUUCGGAUCGUAAAGCUCUGUUGUUGGUGAAGAAGGAUAGAGGUAGUAACUGGCCUUUAUUUGACGGUAAUCAACCAGAAAGUCACGGCUAACUACGUGCCAGCAGCCGCGGUAAU
rnacentral:rRNA from 1 species